AGAUGAUUUUUCUUGUAUGCCUGAGGUCCUUUUUAUAGGUGUUUAAGGGGAGAGAAUUUUUUAAUUUACCGAUGUGGGAUUAUAAGAUGAAGCAUGGAGUCGAAGAGGUUGAGUUUCUAUUGAUUUUGGUGUCUUUUGCCUUCUCAAACUCCACUUUCAUGAUCGUGCAUCAAGCACGUGAAGCCAUGCGUCAAACUGCAUCCCAUGAAACCAUGCACCCUACAAACCCUCUUCUUUCUUCUUCAUGCCAGUCCCCCCAACCAGCCUUUCUUCUGCCUCCACAUUCAUGCCAAGCAAUGCCUU
rnacentral:lncRNA from 1 species